rnacentral:rRNA from 1 species
UGGAAGGGCCAUCGCUCAACGGAUAAAAGGUACUCCGGGGAUAACAGGCUGAUACCGCCCAAGAGUUCAUAUCGACGGCGGUGUUUGGCACCUCGAUGUCGGCUCAUCACAUCCUGGGGCUGAAGUAGGUCCCAAGGGUAUGGCUGUUCGCCAUUUAAAGUGGUACGCGAGCUGGGUUUAGAACGUCGUGAGACAGUUCGGUCCCUAUCUGCCGUGGGCGCUGGAGAACUGAGGGGGGCUGCUCCUAGUACGAGAGGACCGGAGUGGACGCAUCACUGGUGUUCGGGUUGUCAUGCCAAUGGCACUGCCCGGUAGCUAAAUGCGGAAGAGAUAAGUGCUGAAAGCAUCUAAGCACGAAACUUGCCCCGAGAUGAGUUCUCCCUGAGACUUAAAGUCUCCUGAAGGAACGUUGAAGACGACGACGUUGAUAGGCCGGGUGUGUAAGCGCAGCGAUGCGUUGAGCUAACCGGUACUAAUGAACCGUGAGGCUUAACCUUACAACGCCAAAGGUGUUUUG